AAAUUGAAGAGUUUGAUCAUGGCUCAGAUUGAACGCUGGCGGCAGGCCUAACACAUGCAAGUCGAACGGUAACAGGAAGCAGCUUGCUGCUUCGCUGACGAGUGGCGGACGGGUGAGUAAUGUCUGGGAAACUGCCUGAUGGAGGGGGAUAACUACUGGAAACGGUAGCUAAUACCGCAUAAUGUCGCAGGACCAAAGAGGGGGACCUUCGGGCCUCUUGCCAUCAGAUGUGCCCAGAUGGGAUUAGCUAGUUGGUGAGGUAACGGCUCACCAAGGCGACGAUCCCUAGCUGGUCUGAGAGGAUGACCAGCCACACUGGAACUGAGACACGGUCCAGACUCCUACGGGAGGCAGCAGUGGGGAAUAUUGCACAAUGGGCGCAAGCCUGAUGCAGCCAUGCCGCGUGUAUGAAGAAGGCCUUCGGGUUGUAAAGUACUUUCAGCGGGGAGGAAGGGGAUAAGGCUAAUAACCUUGUUCAUUGACGUUACCCGCAGAAGAAGCACCGGCUAACUCCGUGCCAGCAGCCGCGGUAAUACGGAGGGUGCAAGCGUUAAUCGGAAUUACUGGGCGUAAAGCGCACGCAGGCGGUCUGUCAAGUCGGAUGUGAAAUCCCCGGGCUCAACCUGGGAACUGCAUUCGAAACUGGCAGGCUUGAGUCUUGUAGAGGGGGGUAGAAUUCCAGGUGUAGCGGUGAAAUGCGUAGAGAUCUGGAGGAAUACCGGUGGCGAAGGCGGCCCCCUGGACAAAGACUGACGCUCAGGUGCGAAAGCGUGGGGAGCAAACAGGAUUAGAUACCCUGGUAGUCCACGCCGUAAACGAUGUCUACUUGGAGGUUGUGCCCUUGAGGCGUGGCUUCCGGAGCUAACGCGUUAAGUAGACCGCCUGGGGAGUACGGCCGCAAGGUUAAAACUCAAAUGAAUUGACGGGGGCCCGCACAAGCGGUGGAGCAUGUGGUUUAAUUCGAUGCAACGCGAAGAACCUUACCUGGUCUUGACAUCCACGGAAGUUUUCAGAGAUGAGAAUGUGCCUUCGGGAACUGUGAGACAGGUGCUGCAUGGCUGUCGUCAGCUCGUGUUGUGAAAUGUUGGGUUAAGUCCCGCAACGAGCGCAACCCUUAUCCUUUGUUGCCAGCGGUCCGGCCGGGAACUCAAAGGAGACUGCCAGUGAUAAACUGGAGGAAGGUGGGGAUGACGUCAAGUCAUCAUGGCCCUUACGACCAGGGCUACACACGUGCUACAAUGGCGCAUACAAAGAGAAGCGACCUCGCGAGAGCAAGCGGACCUCAUAAAGUGCGUCGUAGUCCGGACUGGAGUCUGCAACUCGACUCCAUGAAGUCGGAAUCGCUAGUAAUCGUGGAUCAGAAUGCCACGGUGAAUACGUUCCCGGGCCUUGUACACACCGCCCGUCACACCAUGGGAGUGGGUUGCAAAAGAAGUAGGUAGCUUAACCUUCGGGAGGGCGCUUACCACUUUGUGAUUCAUGACUGGGGUGAAGUCGUAACAAGGUAACCGUAGGGGAACCUGCGGUUGGAUCACCUCCUUA
rnacentral:rRNA from 2 species